UCCGAGUUGACCCCGGCAGUCUCCUAUGAGUCCCCGCCAUAACGCGCUGGCAACAUAGAACGAGGGUUGCGCUCGCUGCGGGACUUAACCCAACAUCUCACGACACGAGCUGACGACAGCCAUGCAGCACCUGUGCGCGAUCUCCGAAGAGGGGCUCUCGUUUCUGAGAGCUUGCUCGCGCAUGUCAAGCCUAGGUAAGGUUCUUCGCGUUGCGUCGAAUUAGACCACAUGCUCCACCGCUUGUGCGGGCCCCCGUCAAUUCCUUUGAGUUUUGAGCUUGCGCUCGUAGUUCCCAGGCGGGCCACUUCCCGCGUUAGCUAAGGCCCCCAGCGACAGAGAAUCUGCCGCCAAAGGCCGAGUGGCCAUCGUUUACGGCGUGGACUAC
rnacentral:misc_RNA from 1 species